rnacentral:rRNA from 1 species
UACGGAGGGUGCGAGCGUUGUCCGGAAUCACUGGGCGUAAAGGGCGCGUAGGCGGCGCGGGCAGUCAACGGUGAAAGCUCGGAGCUCAACUCCGAGUCGGCCGUCGAUACUCCCGUGCUUGAGCACUGUAGAGGCAGGUGGAAUUCCGGGUGUAGCGGUGGAAUGCGUAGAGAUCCGGAAGAACACCGGUGGCGAAGGCGGCCUGCUGGGCAGUAGCUGACGCUGAGGCGCGAAAGCGUGGGGAGCAAACAGG